rnacentral:rRNA from 1 species
UGGGGAAUUUUGGACAAUGGGCGAAAGCCUGAUCCAGCAAUGCCGCGUGUGUGAAGAAGGCCUUCGGGUUGUAAAGCACUUUUGUCCGGAAAGAAAUGGCUCUGGUUAAUACCUGGGGUCGAUGACGGUACCGGAAGAAUAAGGACCGGCUAACUACGUGCCAGCAGCCGCGGUAAUACGUAGGGUCCAAGCGUUAAUCGGAAUUACUGGGCGUAAAGCGUGCGCAGGCGGUUGUGCAAGACCGAUGUGAAAUCCCCGAGCUUAACUUGGGAAUUGCAUUGGUGACUGCACGGCUAGAGUGUGUCAGAGGGGGGUAGAAUUCCACGUGUAGCAGUGAAAUGCGUAGAGAUGUGGAGGAAUACCGAUGGCGAAGGCAGCCCCCUGGGAUAACACUGACGCUCAUGCACGAAAGCGUGGGGAGCAAACAGGAUUAGAUA